UACAGAGGGUGCAAGCGUUAAUCGGAAUUACUGGGCGUAAAGCGUGCGUAGUCGGCUUUUCAAGUCGGGUGUGAAAGCCCCGGGCUCAACCUGGGAAUUGCAUUCGAUACUGGAUGGCUAGAGUUCGGCAGAGGGAAGCGGAAUUUCGGGUGUAGCGGUGAAAUGCGUAGAUAUCCGAAGGAACAUCAGUGGCGAAAGCGGCUUCCUGGACCAGAACUGACGAUCAGGCACGAAAGCGUGGGGAGCAAACAGG
rnacentral:rRNA from 1 species